rnacentral:rRNA from 1 species
ACGGGGAUGGCGAGCGUUACUCGGAUUUACUGGGUGUAAAGGGCAGGUAGGCGGUUUUGCAAGUUGAAGGUUAAAUCCUCUGACUCAAUCAGAGAACUGCCUUCAAAACUACAUUACUUGAGGAUUUGAGAGGAGAGCGGAAUUCCCGGUGUAAGGGUGAAAUCUGUAGAUAUCGGGAGGAACACCCGUGGCGAAAGCGGCUCUCUGGCAAAUCACUGACGCUAAGCUGCGAAAGCUAGGGGAGCAAACA